rnacentral:rRNA from 1 species
UACGAAGGGGGCUAGCGUUGCUCGGAAUCACUGGGCGUAAAGGGCGCGUAGGCGGCCGAUCAAGUCAGAGGUGAAAGCCCAAGGCUCAACCUUGGAAUUGCCUUUGAUACUGUUCGGCUAGAGACCGGAAGAGGUAAGUGGAACUGCGAGUGUAGAGGUGAAAUUCGUAGAUAUUCGCAAGAACACCAGUGGCGAAGGCGGCUUACUGGUCCGGUUCUGACGCUGAGGCGCGAAAAGCGUGGGGAGCAAACAGGG